AUAAUCCCAGAAGAAGUUGUGCGGCGUUUGAAAGGUCUUCUAAAAAGAUGGAUGUGCCUUGGGAAAGAUGCAAAGUCGGACUGAAUAUCACUACACAAACUUGGAUGAUGAGAAGAAAUAUUUCUUGGUGCAUAUGAUAGGCGUUUUUCAACAUGAGAUGAUCAUGCCAGAAGAAUUUCUUCAGCAUUUCAAGGGCGAAUUUCCAAGAGAGAUGAUACUUGAAACACAAAACUGCCGCAGUUACGUAAUUGCAGUUGCCAAGAACAAUGGAAAUCUUGUCCUUACAGUGGGAUGGAGGAAAUUUGUUGGGACGUUUAGUCUACAGAUGGGUGACACCAUAGUAUUCAGAUUCAUUGGGAAUUCUCGGUUUAAUGUCAUAAUCUUUGAUGAACUUGGCUGUGAGAAGGUAUCAUCAGUUUUUGUG